rnacentral:rRNA from 1 species
UACGUAGGGGGCAAGCGUUAUCCGGAUUCACUGGGUGUAAAGGGAGCGUAGACGGCGACGCAAGUCUGGAGUGAAAGCCCGGGGCCCAACCCCGGGACUGCUCUGGAAACUGCGGCGCUGGAGUACUGGAGGGGCAGGCGGAAUUCCUGGUGUAGCGGUGAAAUGCGUAGAUAUCAGGAGGAACACCGGCGGCGAAGGCGGCCUGCUGGACCGUGACUGACGUUGAGGCUCGAGAGCGUGGGGAGCAAACAGG